UUAGCAAAAUCACUGCACCUCCUUUUGGACGAAUUUUAUUUCCGAGAAAUAGAUUGCAGUGUUCUCUCCAGACGCGUGGUUCCGUGCGUGAGUGUGUGUGUGUGUUCGAUGAAAACGUGUUGGAACAAGUAAGAGACAAAAUGGACGAGAUUGAACCUAGUGGUCUUCGGCUUUUUUUUUUCUGGAGAAGAAUGUGUGCUGGUGGUGCUUUGGUGAAAUUUGAGAAAGUAUUUAUGGACCAGUGAAAAAUAUAACUAGACAGCUUUUCCAGACGAUCAGGCAGCUUUGGUCGAUUACAUAUGAAAUAUUUAAAACCCGAUCUUCAUCUGCUUGAGAAAUCAACGAAACGAAUGCCUGAAUAUUGCGGACGAAGUACUUACAGCAAACAGUCCGUGAAGCCACAACACAACAUUCCACAACCGUAAGCCACA